GUUGUCUGCGCAGGCGCCGUGUGUCCAGGCGCCGGGCGUCCGCGUCGGCGAUCAGGGGUCUGGGCGCGGCGAGUGGCCGGCUCACCUCAUUCCUGCCAAGACCCAGGUCCGUGUUCUCACAGCGCUGCCAUCUUUCCUCCGUGUGAGCGUGUGCUGUGCGGAGAGUGGACCUCGGUGUGUGCGGGGCUGCGUGCACUGCCAUCGGCUCCCUCUACACGAGCCGCCGUGGACCCAGGGCUGAGCUGUGACCACGAGGGCCAUCCCGAAACUGUGAUUGUUUUCUGGUAUGUGGGGGAUGUGCCAGAACCAGGGCUGAGCUGUGACCACGAGGGCCAUCCCGACGAGCCCCCAUGGACCCAGGGCUGAGCUGUGACCACGAGGGCUAUCCCGACGAGCCGCCGUGGACCCAGGGCUGAGCUGUGACCACGAGGGCUAUCCCGACGAGCCGCCGUGGACCCAGGGCUGAGCUGUGACCACGAGGGCUAUCCCGACGAGCCGCCAUGGACCCAGGGCUGAGCCGUGACCAUGAGGGCCAUCCCGAAACUGUGAUUGUUUUCUGGGUCUCGGUCUGUCGCCCAGGUUGAGUGCAGUGGUGUGAUCUUGGCUCACUGCAACCUCCACCUCCUGGGCACAAGCAAUCCGCCUGCCUCAGCCUCCUGGAUAGCUCAGACUACAGGGGUGUGCCACCAUACCCAGCUCAUUCUUUUGUAUUUUUAGUAGAGACAGAGUUUUGCCAUGUUGCCCAGGCUGGUCUCAAACUCCUGGGCUCAAGUGAUCCACCCACCUUGGCCUCCCACAGGGCUGGGAUUACAGGCGUGAACUCCCAUGCCCGGCCCUCAUGAUCCUUUGUAGACUGAGGGACAAAAGAAGAGGGUGAGGCCUCCCCUCUCCUCAGCGUUGAGUGCAAGGACCCUCGAGGCAACUCUUGGCAAAGCCCCGUGUUCCCACUGGCUGUUUAGGUGGAAUUGCGUCCCCCACUUCCGUAUGUUGAAGUCCUAAUUUUCGGGCCCUCCGCUUGUGACCAUAUUUGGAAGUAGAGGCUUUGCAGAUGUCAUGAGUUAAGAUGGGGGGCCUCCUGGAGCAGGGCAACAUGACUGUGUCCUCAUAAGAAGAGGAGAGACAGAAACAGACACACACAGGGAGAUGCCACGGGACUCCCAAAGCCACAAGAAAGCCUGGAACAGCCCCGCCCUCACAGCCUCCGAAGGACCCAGCCCUGCCUUCACCUGGAUCUGGGACUUCCAGCCUCCAGGACUGGAGGAGAAUGAAACUCUGUUGUUUCGGCCACUCAGGCUGGGGUCCUUUGUUAUGGCAGCUGAGUGGGUGCCUCCCUCUCUGGGGAUGGCCAAUCCCUGUAAGGGAGGCAGUGGUCCCGGUCCCGGAAGGUGAGAGAGGCUUUCUCAGCGUCUUCACUCCGCCAGCUCACGUGGAGACUGGUAGCGGCUGGACCCCAAGCUCUCCUGGGGAGUCUGUUUACUCAAGGUCACCCUUGAUCCAGCGGAGCCCAAGGUCUAGGUCAAGCUUCCUCUAGGAUGUCCCCAAGGCUCUUCAAACAGGUGUCGUCAAGCCAUCUGCCCAAGGGCCCGUCAGCACCUGGCAGGUGUUAGCCAGGCUGAUCUGCAGGCGGGGCUGCCCCGAGUGGGGCUCCCACUGCCCAGGUUGGGACUGGAGCAGCCAAGUGGCUGAGCAACAAGAUGCUUCGUGUGUGGUCCCUGUGAGCCCCCCUGAAUAGUCUCAUGGACAGACAGAUGGACGGGAGGCUCAGUGGGCUCUGGGAGCAAGGGGAGUGCUUGCCGCUCUCCAUGUGACUCCAUUCCAGGACCAGGACAAUGAUGUCUUCCUGUCUGCAGCCAGAAGCAGGGCAGCUGACAGCGGCCCAGCCCUCCUGAGGGACAGGUGUCCCCUCCCAGAAACCUCCCUUCCACCGUCCCCAUCAGUGAAGGUGUCAGGGACUAGGAGGGGCCUCCUUGCUCCUUCCUGGACGCUGCCCCUGGGGUUGAGCUGGAGAGGCUGAGACAUGCUGGGAAGAGGAGGACCAGCCCAGUGGGCGGCCGCCCAACAGCUCGGCGGUGAGAAGAGGCCACGUGUAAGAAGGAAACGCCACCACCCCACUGGAUGGUGGGAGCAGGACUCCAGGGAGGGGGGUCUUGAGUGUAGGCAACCAUGUCGAUUUGGCACAGCGUCUCAGCAGGGCAGGGCAAGGGUCUGGGAUUCCAGUUCACGGAUGCCUCAGGUACCAUGGGUGGACAGAGGCCCAGACCCUCUACAAGACGGCAGUGAUCAUGUCAGACCCUCGCAGCGCUUGAGGGCUGCAGCAGGAGCCCUGAGUCCUCUCUUCUGACCAGGCAGCAGGGAGGACUCGCUGCCCCCAGCUGCACAACGCCUGCCCCGGCCUUGGUCUCGGCCCUCUACCUGGCACCAGCUGGAGCCUCUUGGCCAUUCCUCUGUGCCAUGGGACGCUCUCCCACUCCCGCGCUGGCUUCUGCCCACAGUGGCGCCCCUGCUCACCCAGUGGCAGUGUCCCCACCUCUCAGGAGAGUUUUUCACAGUGGCAGGCCCUGACCCAGAGUCUCCUGCCUACUUGGUGGCUAAAGGCCCCAGGUGAUCCCCGAAUCCUGCUGUCUCAGGGAGUUUCUCAGAGUCCCACCUCCUCCACAGAACCAGGGGAUUGGCCAAGACUCAAAGCUUC